AAGAGCAGGAGGUGCAGUAAAUGAUGUUGCUAGAAGUGCAUGUAAAGGAGUCAGUGAUAUGAUAGGGACGAUGAUGGCUGCCUAUGAGGAUCGUGGUAUUGGAGAGGUAGGGGCAAGUGCGACAGCAUGGCGGGAGCAGGGAAACGAGCCAGGUUCGCAGGUGGAGUUAGGGAAGAAACUGUGAACCAGGAGGUUACGUAGGUUGUAGGUUCGUUUGAAGGAGGGUAGGGGUAGGUUGGGGAAGAUGUACGAAAUGGAGGGCGAAUCUGGCUGAAUAUUU